UGCAUAUCAAAAAGCGGAGGAAAAGAAACUAACAAGGAUUCCCCUAGUAACGGCGAGUGAAGAGGGAAGAGCCCAAGAUUGAAAGCUGGCGUCUUCGGCGUCCGCAUUGUAAUCUCAAGAAGCGUUUUCCGCUUCGGACCAUGCCUAAGUCCCUUGGAAAAGGGCAUCAUAGAGGGUGAUAAUCCCGUACAUGGCAUGGAGCGCCCGAAGCUUUGUGAUACGCUUUCUAAGAGUCGAGUUGUUUGGGAAUGCAGCUCAAAAUGGGUGGUAAAUGCCAUCUAAGGCUAAAUAUUGGGGAGAGACCGAUAGCGAACAAGUACAGUGAUGGAAAGAUGAAAAGAACUUUGAAAAGAGAGUUAAACAGUACGUGAAAUUGCCAAAAGGGAAGGGUAGGAGGUCAGAGAUGCGGCCUGGGAUUCAGCCUUGCUUUUUGCUUGGUGUUUUUCCCAGGUUGCAGGCCAACGUCGGUUUUGGGCACUGGAGAAGGGUAGGAGGAAUGUGGCACCUCUCGGGGUGUGUUAUAGCCUCCUACUGGAUACAGCGACCGAGACCGAGGACAGCAGCGUACUCGCAAGAGCGGGCCUUCGGGCACCUUACGCUAGGGGCAGGUUAUGGUGG
rnacentral:rRNA from 1 species